rfam:Lactobacillus ghanensis DSM 18630 NODE_33, whole genome shotgun sequence.
GGCCUUGGGACAAUGAGGUGUCUGUGAAGCGUGUCAGAUCCGGAAGGAAGCAGCACUAAGCGGAUUACAGCAUGUGUUCCAAGUUAAUU